UUUAUCAAAAACAUUGCUUUAUGAAUACUAUUUAUAUAAAGUAAUUCCUGCCCGGUGACAUAAGUUCAACGGCCGCGGUAUCCUAACCGUGCAAAGGUAGCAUAAUAACUUGCCUAUUAAUUGUAGGCUAGAAUGAAAGGAUAAACGAAAUAAAAACUGUCUCUAUCAAUAAUCUAAAAAUUAUUAUCUAUAUGAAGAAAUAUAGAUAUGUUCGUAAGACAAGAAGACCCUAUAGAGCUUUAUUUAAAAACAAAUAUAUUGUUAUAAAAUUCGGUUGGGGCGACCGAGGGAAGUUAUAUCACCCUUAAAUAUAAAGAUAUAUCAAUCUAAUAAAUGACCCUAAUAAGAUCACAAAAUCAAGCUACCUUAGGGAUAACAGGCUAAUCCUAUUAUAGAGUUCUUAUCGACAUUAGGGCUUGGCACCUCGAUGUUGGCUUAGGGUAUCUAUUUAGCGCAAAAGCUAUAUAACGAUGGUUUGUUCAACCAAUAAUUC
rnacentral:rRNA from 1 species